rnacentral:rRNA from 1 species
GACGAACGCUGGCGGCGUGCUUAACACAUGCAAGUCGAACGGAAAGUCCCUGCUUUUGUGGGUUGCUCGAGUGGCGAAAGGGUGAGUAACACGUGAGUAACCUGCCCUUGACUUUGGGAUACCUUCAGGAAACUGUGGCUAAUACCGCAUAUGAGCUCCUGCUGCAUUUUGUGGGUUGGAAAUAUUCGGCGGUUGGGGAUGGACUCGCGGCUUAUCAGCUUGUUGGUGAGGUAGUGGAUUACCAGGGCUCUGACGGGUAGCCGGCCUGUGAGGGUGACCGGCCACAGUGGGCCUGGGAUAGGGGCCAGAGGGAGACGGGAGGAAGCAGUGGGGAACAUUGCACAAAGGGCGGAAGCAUGAAAGAGCAACGUCGCGUCCGGGAUGACGGCCUUAGGGGUGGAAACCGUUUUAGCCUGUGACGAAGAGUCAGUGACGGUAAUGGAUCAAGAAGCAACGGCUAACUACGUG